rnacentral:rRNA from 1 species
GGCGAACGCUGGCGGCGUGCUUAACACAUGCAAGUCGAACGGAAAGGCCCUGCUUUUGUGGGGUGCUCGAGUGGCGAACGGGUGAGUAACACGUGAGUAACCUGCCCUUGACUUUGGGAUAACUUCAGGAAACUGGGGCUAAUACCGGAUAGGAGCUCCUGCUGCAUGGUGGGGGUUGGAAAGUUUCGGCGGUUGGGGAUGGACUCGCGGCUUAUCAGCUUGUUGGUGGGGUAGUGGCUUACCAAGGCUUUGACGGGUAGCCGGCCUGAGAGGGUGACCGGCCACAUUGGGACUGAGAUACGGCCCAGACUCCUACGGGAGGCAGCAGUGGGGAAUAUUGCACAAUGGGCGGAAGCCUGAUGCAGCAACGCCGCGUGCGGGAUGACGGCCUUCGGGUUGUAAACCGCUUUCGCCUGUGACGAAGCGUGAGUGACAGUAAUGGGUAAAGAAGCACCGGCUAACUACGUG